AUUGAACGCUGGCGGCAUGCUUUACACAUGCGAGUCGAACGGCAGCGCGGGCUUCGGCCUGGCGGCGAGUGGCGAACGGGUGAGUAAUGCAUCGGAACGUGCCCAGUAGUGGGGGAUAGCGCGGCGAAAGCCGGAUUAAUACCGCAAACGACCUGAGGGUGUAAGCGGGGGACCGAAAGGCCUCGCGCUAUUGGAGCGGCCGAUGUCGGAUUAGCUAGUUGGUGGGGUAAAGGCGUACCAAGGCGACGAUCCGUAGCUGGUCUGAGAGGACGACCAGCCACACUGGGACUGAGACACGGCCCAGACUCCUACGGGAGGCAGCAGUGGGGAAUUUUGGACAAUGGGGGCAACCCUGAUCCAGCCAUGCCGCGUGCGGGAAGAAGGCCUUCGGGUUGUAAACCGCUUUUGUUCGGGAAGAAAACCUCUGGGCUAAUACCCCGGGGGGAUGACGGUACCGGAAGAAUAAGCACCGGCUAACUACGUG
rnacentral:rRNA from 1 species